rnacentral:rRNA from 1 species
AUACGUAGGUGGCAAGCGUUGUCCGGAAUUAUUGGGCGUAAAGCGCAUGUAGGCGGUGCCUUAAGUCUGUCGUGAAACUGCGGGGCCUAACCCCGUAUGGCGAUGGAAACUGCGGCACUUGAGUGCAGGAGAGGAAAGGGGAACUCCCAGUGUAGCGGUGAAAUGCGUAGAUAUUGGGAAGAACACCGGUGGCGAAGGCGCCUUUCUGGACUGUGUCUGACGCUGAGAUGCGAAAGCCAGGGUAGCGAACGGGAUUAGAUACCCCGGUAGUCCUGGCCGUAAACGAUGGGUACUAGGUGUGGGAGGUAUCGACCCCUUCCGUGCCGGAGUUAACGCAAUAAGUACCCCGCCUGGGGAGUACGGCCGCAAGGCUUAAACUCAAAGGAAUUGACGGGG